CCUACGGGUGGCAGCAGUAGGGAAUAUUGCGCAAUGGGCGAAACCCUGAAGCAGCAACGCCGCGUGAAGGAUGAAGGUUUUCGGGUUGUAAACUCCUUUUGUUAGAGAAGAUGAUAACGAUGUUUCCCGAAUAAUCACCCACUACCUCCUUGCCAGCAGCCGCCGUAAUACGUAGGAUGCAAGCGUUACUCGGAGUCACUGGGCGGAAAGAGCGCGUAGGCGGGAUAGCAAGUCAGAUGUGAAAUCAUAGGGCGUAACGAUAGAACUGCAUUUGAAACUGUUAUUCUAGAGUGUGGGAGAGGUAGGUGGAAUUCGUGGUGUAGGGGUAAAAGCCGUAGAUAGACGGAGGAACACCAGUGGCGAAGGCGGCCUACUGGACGGUGACUGACGCUGAGGCUCGAAAGCGUGGGGAGCAAACAGGAUUAGAUACCCGAGUAGUC
rnacentral:rRNA from 1 species